AUACGUAGGUGGCAAGCGUUAAUCGGAAUUACUGAGCGUAAAGCGUGCGCAGGCGGUUUUGUAAGACAGUGGUGAAAUCCCCGGGCUCAACCUGGGAACUGCCUUUGUGACUGCAAGGCUAGAGUACGGCAGAGGGGGAUGGAAUUCCGCGUGUAGCAGUGAAAUGCGUAGAUAUGCGGAGGAACACCGAUGGCGAAGGCAAUCCCCUGGGCCUGUACUGACGCUCAUGCACGAAAGCGUGGGGAGCAAACAGGAUUAGAUACCCUGGUAGUCCACGCCCUAAACGAUGUCAACUGGUUGUUGGGUCUUCAUUGACUCAGUAACGAAGCUAACGCGUGAAGUUGACCGCCUGGGGAGUACGGCCGCAAGGUUGAAACUCAAAUGAAUUGACGGGG
rnacentral:rRNA from 1 species